UGCCGUGAUCGUGGUCUGCAGCA
rnacentral:siRNA from 1 species